GCCUCUGUGGUGUAGUGGUAGCACACGUCACCGGCAUGCAUGAAACGCGGGUUCAACUCCUGUCUGAGAUC